rnacentral:rRNA from 1 species
CCUACGGGAGGCAGCAGUGAGGAAUAUUGGUCAAUGGGCGAGAGCCUGAACCAGCCACGUCGCGUGAAGGAUGAAGGAUCUAUGGUUUGUAAACUUCUUUUAUAUGGGAAUAAAGUGAGGAACGUGUUCCUUUUUGUAUGUACCAUAUGAAUACGCAUCGGCUAACUCCGUGCCAGCAGCCGCGGUAAUACGGAGGAUGCGAGGGUUAUCCGGAUUUAUUGGGUUUAAAGGGUGCGUAGGUGGUUAAUUAAGUUAGCGGGAAAAGUUUGUGGCUCAACCUCGCUCCGCCGUUGAAACUGGCGUUCUUGAGUGGGCGAGAAGUAUGCGGAAUGCGUGGUGUAGCGGUGAAAUGCAUAGAUAUUACGCAGAACUCCGAUGGCGAAGGCAGCAUACCGGCGCGCAACUGACGCUGAAGCACGAAAGCGUGGGUAUCGAACAGGAUUAGAUACCCUGGUAGUC